rnacentral:lncRNA from 1 species
CUUGAUUGCUCCUUGUACCUCCCUCGAACCAACACCCCAGUCGCCUUCAUAGUUCAGUGCCCAAAGAGCAGGGUUGUUUUGUUUUGUUUUCCUGUUUGGUGAACUUCUGUAUCCAAAGUUCCUAAAAUAGAGCCUGGCACUUAAUGGGUGUUCAGUAUUUAUUUAACUACCUCUUUGUCUACACUUCAAGUCAGGAUUCAGCCAAUGGGCCUCCCUAGAGCAGGACCGAAGUUUUCUCUACCUGGGAGCUGGACCAGUCACUUCUACGAAACAGAUUGAGGAAUGUGCAGAGGGAAGAGAAGGUGGGGAGCCUGUUACUUCCCACAGCUUGGGUACCUCUGUUUUCCAGGUUGCUGAGGGCCCACUGGUUUACAGCUGAGCCCUGUGUGUGUAUAUGCUUCGGUUGCCUAGUGACAUUGGCUGGUGCUCCCAUUUAUGAGCUGGAAAGCUGUUUGAAAGCCCGCGAGCAGAGCUUGUUGAUUGUCGAGCUUCACUACUGGAUGGCAAAGUGAACAGCUUUUGCUGUUAGGCUGGUCAGCUUUCCUAUAAAGAAAUCCUCCAGUCUCUUUCCUGGGAGUCAUUCUCCUGGUGGCGUGUGGUUCUUAUUGGCAGCCGUUCAGGUCUCACUAUGCAAUAUGAAAGUUCUAUUUAGUAUUCUUGUAAAAUAAAGUAUUUUUCCCUAUGCUGAACGAUGUUUAGUGUCUCUCUAAUUCCUCUUCCCCAAAAAGUACCCAGUAUUUUAUUGUGGAUAGAAGAAGGACACAGCCUGAAUUCUCUGUUUGGUGUUAUGGUGUUUGGUGUUAUGGAGUGAUGGUGGUGGUGGUGAUGGUAAUGGCGUUCAUGGUGGCACUGAUGUUGUUAGUAGCAGUGGUGGUGGUAGUGAUGGUGGUAUGGAAUUCAGUGGUGGUAGCAAUAGUCUGAUGGUGGAUAGUGUUGAGAGUGAUAUUGAUGCUGGUGGUGAUGGUGAUGUUGAUGUUGGGGUGUUGGUGAUGGUGAUGUGGUGAUGGUGUGGUGGUGGUGGUACUGAUGGCAAUUGUGGUGGCAGUGGUGAUGGUGUUGAUACAUCUUAUUUCUUCAAGUAUUUUUAUCACUCUCAACCCUUCUUCUCGCCCCACUACAAGAUACUUGGUAUCUCCAAGUCCUCACACAGGCUUAGUUUAAGGUUUUCCUCUGUUGGCGUAGGAAGUUACUGUUCACCUAUCUCCCUUCCUUUUUCAAAAAAUUAGUUGACACAGCUAAAUUCAUAUUCUCUUUGUGAACUUAUUCCUUUUUAUAAAUUAGUUCCACUGUUAUUUUGCAGAGCUUGAGGAAGAAGCUGAUAUUAAUGAAUGGGGUUGCUUUCCAUUUAAAAUGGAUAUUCUCCACUGUCCUUUUAAUAUCCAGACUUUGCUUCUUUUCAUCUGAUUUUCUGCUUUUUCUAUAU